GACGAACGCUGGCGGCGUGCUUAACACAUGCAAGUCGAACGAGAGGAGAAGGAAGCUUGCUUCUUUCAAAUCUAGUGGCAAACGGGUGAGUAACACGUAAACAACCUGCCUUCAGGAUGGGGACAACAGACGGAAACGACUGCUAAUACCGAAUACGUUCCUUAGGUCGCAUGACUUUAGGAAGAAAGGGUGGCCUCUACUUGUAAGCUAUCGCCUGAAGAGGGGUUUGCGUCUGAUUAGGUAGUUGGUGAGGUAACGGCCCACCAAGCCGACGAUCAGUAGCCGGUCUGAGAGGAUGAACGGCCACACUGGAACUGAGACACGGUCCAGACUCCUACGGGAGGCAGCAGUGGGGAAUCUUCCGCAAUGGGCGAAAGCCUGACGGAGCAACGCCGCGUGAGUGAUGACGGCCUCGG
rnacentral:rRNA from 1 species